rnacentral:lncRNA from 1 species
CACCCUCAGAAGAAGUCAGAGCCCCAGAGGCCGGACAACUUACAGCUUAAUGGCUUUACUUUUAGAAAAACUAACAUCCUUCCAAUCAUAUAUUUCUUAGCCAUCAGAAAAGAAAUAAGAAAUCAAAGUUUAAAAUUUUAGACUGGUUUCAAUUUUUGGAUAUAAAAAGAAGUUUUCUGGAAAAUUCUGGCAAACUGAACAAGGACCAACUGUGUUCUACCUGCAUCUCUGCUUCCUCGCUGAUUUACAGAAUGAGAUUCCCACAAAUUCUCAAGCAAAUGCAACUCACUAAAGUGUUCUAGAUCAAAGAGGCUCAGGAAGACGUGUUUCAAGUUUCUGACAUAAAAAAUAUAAAUUUUCAGAAAAGCCCUGGUAAGUUUCUAAUUAUUGGUUUAUUUAAGCAACUCUCAUUAAA